GACGAACGCUGGCGGCGUGCUUAACACAUGCAAGUCGAACGGACAGGCCCCUUUGGGGGUACUCUGGCGGCGCACGGGUGCGUAACACGUACGUAACCUUCCCUUGACUUCGGGAUAACGUCAGGAACCUGGGGCUAAUACCGGUAAGGAAUCCUUGCUGCAUGCUGGUGGUUGGAAAGCUUCGGCGGUUUUGGAUGGACUCGCGGCUUAUCAGCUUGUUGGUGGGGUAGUGGCUUACCAAGGCUUUGACGGGUAGCCGCCCUGAGAGGGCGACCGGCCACAUUGGGACUGAGAUACGGCCCAGACUCCUACGGGAGGCAGCAGUGGGGAAUAUUGAACAAUGGGCGGAAGCCUGAUGCAGCAACGCCGCGGGCGGGAUGACGGCCUUCGGGUUGUAAAACGCUUUCAGCAGGGGCGAAGCUUGUGGUGACGGUACCUGCAGAAGAAGCACCGGCUAACUACGUG
rnacentral:rRNA from 1 species